AUUGAACGCUGGCGGCAUGCUUUACACAUGCAAGUCGAACGGUAACAGGGAGCUUGCUCCGCUGACGAGUGGCGAACGGGUGAGUAAUGCGUCGGAACGUGCCGAGUAGUGGGGGAUAACGCAUCGAAAGGUGUGCUAAUACCGCAUACGUACUGAGGUAGAAAGUGGGGGACCUUCGGGCCUCACGCUAUUCGAGCGGCCGACGUCUGAUUAGCUAGUUGGUGAGGUAAAGGCUCACCAAGGCGACGAUCAGUAGCGGGUCUGAGAGGAUGAUCCGCCACACGGGGACUGAGACACGGCCCAGACUCCUACGGGAGGCGGCAGUGGGGAAUUUUGGACAAUGGGCGCAAGCCUGAUCCAGCCAUGCCGCGUGUCUGAAGAAGGCCUUCGGGUUGUAAAGGACUUUUGUCCGGGAGCAAAUGCCUGGUGUUUAUAGCACUGGGAGCUGAGAGUACCGGAAGAAUAAGCACCGGCUAACUACGUGCCAGCAGCCGCGGUAAUAC
rnacentral:rRNA from 1 species